AGAGUUUGAUCAUGGCUCAGGACGAACGCUGGCGGCGUGCCUAAUACAUGCAAGUAGAACGCUGACUACUUUAGCUUGCUAGAGUAGAAGGAGUUGCGAACGGGUGAGUAACGCGUAGGUAACCUGCCUACUAGCGGGGGAUAACUAUUGGAAACGAUAGCUAAUACCGCAUAACAGUGUUUAACACAUGUUAGAUGCUUGAAAGAUGCAAAUGCAUCACUAGUAGAUGGACCUGCGUUGUAUUAGCUAGUUGGUGGGGUAACGGCCUACCAAGGCGACGAUACAUAGCCGACCUGAGAGGGUGAUCGGCCACACUGGGACUGAGACACGGCCCAGACUCCUACGGGAGGCAGCAGUAGGGAAUCUUCGGCAAUGGGGGCAACCCUGACCGAGCAACGCCGCGUGAGUGAAGAAGGUUUUCGGAUCGUAAAGCUCUGUUGUAAGAGGAGAACGUGUGUGAGAGUGGAAAGUUCACACAGUGACGGUAACUUACCAGAAAGGGACGGCUAACUACGUGCCAGCAGCCGCGGUAAUACGUAGGUCCCGAGCGUUGUCCGGAUUUAUUGGGCGUAAAGCGAGCGCAGGCGGUUUAAUAAGUCUGAAGUUAAAGGCAGUGGCUUAACCAUUGUUCGCUUUGGAAACUGUUAAACUUGAGUGCAGAAGGGGAGAGUGGAAUUCCAUGUGUAGCGGUGAAAUGCGUAGAUAUAUGGAGGAACACCGGUGGCGAAAGCGGCUCUCUGGUCUGUAACUGACGCUGAGGCUCGAAAGCGUGGGGAGCAAACAGGAUUAGAUACCCUGGUAGUCCACGCCGUAAACGAUGAGUGCUAGGUGUUAGGCCCUUUCCGGGGCUUAGUGCCGCAGCU
rnacentral:rRNA from 1 species